GGGCGACUAGCUCACUUGGUUAGAGCGCAUCGUUGACAUCGAUGAGGCAAGAGGUUCGACUCCUCUGUCGCCCA
rnacentral:tRNA from 1 species